rnacentral:lncRNA from 1 species
AGGAACGCAAGCAGCCAUCGUUGCUGGGGUGUCUCUGUCCCUCGCCCCGAGGCCCGCACCGCCCUCCUAGCGAUUAUUUUCGACGCCCGCCCUCCUGAGCCUCCUGAGUCGGCUGCCAGAGCGAGGGCCCGUCUCCCGCCGCCACUCGCGAUUUAUUUACACCUCGCAGAACUGCCGCGAUUUCCCCCGCAUUCAGGCGCAUUUCUGGCCUCGGAACACCUCCGCGCCCGCAGAUGCACGCUCCGAAGCUCCCACGACCGCCUGCCCCCGGCGCGCACUCUAAAACUCCUCGGCCCUCUUACCCUGCUGCUGGCUCCGCAUCGCCUAUUCGCCGCCGCCCGCAGGACUUUGGGGUGGGACUCUGACUUCUCCCGGCUGUUUGCCCCCUGGUUUGUAGCCCAUCCCUCUCUCUCACGCGCGCUCUCUCGCCACCUCUCCCUCCCAGCCAGUGAGGUCCUGUUCUCCGUGGGCCAUAGACAAAACAUUCCUAUAAUCCGAUUUCAAAGGAAAGAGUGUCCACCUUAUUUAAACCAUAAAACAAUUAAGCCCAGACGUCUAGCCAGCUCCGCGCUGCUGUUUUGUUCUGCCCCAUUCAGAAUCCAGCGCAGGGAGACAAACAGCGCCAUAAAAGUGGCAUUUCGGGACCGCGGAAAUGUACCUAUCCUCUGCCUUCCCAAGUGGAACAACCUUUAGGGUUUUGUGAUUCUGACAAAGGAGCAGAGGAGAGGUGGGAGGGGAAGAUUAGGGCGGGGUGGGGGGCGUUUGCCGGCCCCUCUCCCCCCGCCUCUUCCCCGGGCUUUCGCUGCUUUCCCCAGAUGUGUGUUGUGCUGUCGUGGCUUGGAGUCACAAAUGACAAUAAAUAAAAAUCGAAUCCAAUCCUGACCUGCA